GACGAACGCUGGCGGCGUGCUUAACACAUGCAAGUCGAACGGAAAGGCCCUGCUUUUGUGGGGUGCUCGAGUGGCGAACGGUUGAGUAACACGUGAGUAACCUGCCCUUGACUUUGGGAUAACUUCAGGAAACUGGGGCUAAUACCGGAUAGGAGCUCCUGCUGCAUGGUGGGGGUUGGAAAGUUUCGGCGGUUGGGAAUGGACUCGCGGCUUAUCAGCUUGUUGGUGGGGUAGUGGCUUACCAAGGCUUUGACGGGUAGCCGGCCUGAGAGGGUGACCGGCCACAUUGGGACUGAGAUACGGCCCAGACUCCUACGGGAGGCAGCAGUGGGGAAUAUUGCACAAUGGGCGGAAGCCUGAUGCAGCAACGCCGCGUGCGGGAUGACGGCCUUCGGGUUGUAAACCGCUUUCGCCUGUGACGAAGCGUGAGUGACGGUAAUGGGUAAAGAAGCACCGGCUAACUACGUG
rnacentral:rRNA from 1 species